GAAAAGGUGACCGAGUGGUUUAAGGUGUAAGUCUGCUAAACUUAUGUGUAAUUAGAUUAAUACACCAUGGGUUCGAAUCCCAUUCUUUUCU
rnacentral:tRNA from 1 species